AUGGGAGUUAUUGUACUCGCUGCACUGUGGAUGAGGUUCAUCGUCGAUCUCAGCUAUGCCGAUUCCGUGACACAACGAGAGGCCGCCGUCCAGCGGUUGGAGGGCGAUCAUGUCACGUUUAUUUGCACCUAUACCAGUGAAGCCUAUUAUUUAUAUUGGUACCGUCAGUACCCAGGCAGAAGGCCAGAGUUCGUCGUGUGGAGAGACCCUGGCGGCAAGUAUCACUUUCAAGCGGAAUUCGCUAAACGCCGCUUUGUUGAUGUGAUGGAUAACACAGCGAGAGAGUAUCGACUAACCAUUCCUGGGCCACGGUUGUCCGAUGUAGCGGUAUAUUACUGCGCAGCGGCUCACAGUGAUAGGUGCGAGCUAAAUCCUCGUACAAUAAUUGUCGUUUCUGGGGCACAGGUGUUGUAG